rnacentral:lncRNA from 1 species
UAUGUUAACAUGAACCUUUAUGACACUGACCUUGCCAACUGUGUGGGACCUGGUUGAGGCCUCUUGCCACCAGCUAUCUCCAACUUUCCUGGCCAACUAUAUAAUACAGUAGAGGCAACGAAAAUCCCCUCUAGAACAUAACCUCAUUGUCCUGAGAACCACCACCAUCCACCACAAUGGCUGCAGCAAGCCCCGCCCAAGAUAUUUUCUAAAGAUGGAAAGACACAUUCUGCCAUAUAGCUACUAUUUGCUUCCACAUCUGUUAUCUGCUCGUCUCCCCUCAACUCCGUAUCUCAAGAGACUGACCUGCUUGGAUUGCGUCAAGGGCUCUGGCUUAGGACAGACCUCAGCUAACUAUGGGACUUGGCAGGAGAUCCAGCAGCAGGAGGAAAGUGAGCUUUGUCAAAGAUCAGAUGGUUACUGUGGCCUGUAACAAAGACUUGGAACCAACCCAAAUGUCCAUCAAUGAUAGACUGGGGGUUGAAGCCACAUACUCCUGCCAAACCAAAGGUCAAAAAGAAAAUCUACAGUGAGGCAGUAUAAAAGGAAGAACAAAGAAACGGGAAGGAGGAAACAAGGAAGAAACAAAACCAUAAAGUAUCUGAAGAGUACAAU